CCGACCUCAGUUACAGAGGCCUCUACAGAUUGAGCUGUGGGCUGACCUCUACAGAUUGAGCUGUGGGCUGGCCUCUACAGAUUGAGCUGUGGGCUGACCUCUACAGAUUGAGCUGUGGGCUGGCCUCUACAGAUUGAGCUGUGGGCUGACCUCUACAGAUUGAGCUGUGGGCUGGCCUCUACAGAUUGAGCUGUGGGCUGACCUCUACAGAUUGAGCUGUGGGCUGACCUCUACAGAUUGAGCUGUGGGCUGACCUCUACAGAUUGAGCUGUGGGCUGGCCUCUACAGAUUGAGCUGUGGGCUAAAGAUGGCUAGGGCUCCAAACAAGUGUUUUGCUGGAGAUCCAGUGCUGGCUGUAGAGCACAUGAACACUGCUAGUUCCUGUAGUGCCUUGGACAGCUCCCCUCCAGUCUGCGCUGCUCCUGCUCUCAUGACAAACUCUGAGGUCUUACACAAGACCUACAAGCAUUAUGUGAAUGAGAAAAGGCUUUGAGGGUUUUCAUCUGCAUAUGUGUGGUAUUGAUGAUAGACUCUGAUUGUAUAGCCUGGAUUGCAGAGAGAGCUGAUGGGCCAGAUUCUAUGUAUUCUACUACUGAAUAUACUUACUUCCUGUGAGAGACGGUUAAUAUGGCAGUUUCAAAACGUGCAAUGAUGGAGAUGGCAGGUGUAUCACCCUUUAUAGCCUAGAGAUGGUAGUAACUUAAGCUUUUUAAACUUUGGUUGUCUUUCCUUCAUCAUUUACUCAUAGAUUGAAUGAAGCACACAGUCAACUUAUGGAAUUGAUAUGCUCUAUAUGAAUAUGAACUAACAAGGCAUUUUUUGCAGCCAGCUCAAGUAUGAUAAUUCUGUGUAUGACACAGAAAGAGAUACAUUAACAGACACAAUCCCAGGUUCACAAUAAGUAAAUGUUUUAUAUAAAGUAGAGCUGUGUAGGACUUGGGCCACCCCUUUAUGUAGUUUAACCUAUAAUUAAUGAUUUUCUGCUUCUCGAUAGUCAGACAUUUUUAUCAUAUUCACCAUCCCAAAUCCAUCCCUACAAAAAUAUUUUUGUUGGGUUCCAUUCUGUGUACAUGUAUGGCAACCAGAUGGUAAUAAUAUUGUAAACCUGCAUUUUUAACAGUGAUGUAUGUGUAUACAAUUCUGAAGACAUCUCCAUUGUUUCCUUUGUAUAGACUCCCCACUGUAUGAUAACCUGAAGGUAUGUUUUGUUUGGCACUUGUAUGUAAUUGUAUGCCUUUGUUAUAAAUUUGUAUAUUGAGAAGUGUUUUGAGUCAAGCUAUUUAAUAUCUUGCACUGUUAAUAACAUGUACUUUUCUGUACAGACAAUUUUACCGUUUUAACUGUAGUUGUAGUGUACAUACUGAGGCUAACAGCAUGGCCAUCUCCCCCUGCUCUCGUCCUGGUUCUGUUGUGGGGACACUUUCAUUUGCUUUCAUUUGUCAAAAUCGUUUUACUGUUUUAAAGGUUUCUUUUUUUAAGACCGGUUUACUGCUUUGUAUUUUCAUGUUUGUUCAUUUGUUUCAUUCUGUUUUUCUGUUAGCUCGUGCUUGUAUCAGAAGCAUUUACUGGUUUUUAAAGGCGGUUAAAGUAUUUUCCAACCUGUACAUGAACUGUAAAGUUUUAUGGACCUUUAUGGAAAAAUAGCUGGAUCAGAGAGAGUGAAGCAAGUGAGAAAGCUCUAUAGUAUUUAUUAGGCACAUCAGAGGAUGCUCAAUGUGUAAUUUAUUGUAAAAAUGUAAGCAAAAGGAAGCCUCUGUUUGAAAUAAAUGCCAUAGUUUGUGAAGUU